rfam:Triticum urartu cultivar G1812 contig878033, whole genome shotgun sequence.
AAAGUACUCCCUCCGUCCCAAAAUUCUUGUCUUAGAUUUGUCUAGAUACAGAUGUAUCAAGUCACAUUUUACUAUUAGAUACAUCCGUAUCUAGACAAAUCUAAGACAAGAAAUUUGGGAUAGAGGGAGUAGUUG